AAACACAUAGGCUUGGUCCUAGCCUUUUUAUUAGUUAUUAAUAGAAUUACACAUGCAAGUAUCCGCACCCCAGUGAGAAUGCCCUCUAAAUCACGUCUCUACGAUUAAAAGGAGCAGGUAUCAAGCACACUAGAAAGUAGCUCAUAACACCUUGCUCAGCCACACCCCCACGGGACACAGCAGUGAUAAAAAUUAAGCUAUGAACGAAAGUUCGACUAAGUCAUAUUAAAUAAGGGUUGGUAAAUUUCGUGCCAGCCACCGCGGUCAUACGAUUAACCCAAAUUAAUAAAUCUCCGGCGUAAAGCGUGUCAAAGACUAAUACCAAAAUAAAGUUAAAACCCAGUUAAGCCGUAAAAAGCUACAACCAAAGUAAAAUAGACUACGAAAGUGACUUUAAUACCUCUGACUACACGAUAGCUAAGACCCAAACUGGGAUUAGAUACCCCACUAUGCUUAGCCCUAAACUAAAAUAGCUUACCACAACAAAGCUAUUCGCCAGAGUACUACUAGCAACAGCCUAAAACUCAAAGGACUUGGCGGUGCUUUACAUCCCUCUAGAGGAGCCUGUUCCAUAAUCGAUAAACCCCGAUAAACCCCACCAUCCCUUGCUAAUUCAGCCUAUAUACCGCCAUCUUCAGCAAACCCUAAACAAGGUACCGAAGUAAGCACAAAUAUCCAACAUAAAAACGUUAGGUCAAGGUGUAGCCCAUGGGAUGGAGAGAAAUGGGCUACAUUUUCUACCCUAAGAACAAGAACUUUAACCCGGACGAAAGUCUCCAUGAAACUGGAGACUAAAGGAGGAUUUAGCAGUAAAUUAAGAAUAGAGAGCUUAAUUGAAUCAGGCCAUGAAGCGCGCACACACCGCCCGUCACCCUCCUUAAAUAUCACAAAUCAUAACAUAACAUAAAACCGUGACCCAAACAUAUGAAAGGAGACAAGUCGUAACAAGGUAAGUAUACCGGAAGGUGUACUUGGAUAACCAAAGUG
rfam:Equus caballus mitochondrial DNA complete sequence.